ACGAACGCUGGCGGCGUGCUUAACACAUGCAAGUCGAACGGAAAGGCCCUGCUUUUGUGGGGUGCUCGAGUGGCGAACGGGUGAGUAACACGUGAGUAACCUGCCCUUGACUUUGGGAUAACUUCAGGAAACUGGGGCUAAUACCGGAUAGGAGCUCCUGCUGCAUGGUGGGGGUUGGAAAGUUUCGGCGGUUGGGGAUGGACUCGCGGCUUAUCAGCUUGUUGGUGGGGUAGUGGCUUACCAAGGCUUUGACGGGUAGCCGGCCUGAGAGGGUGACCGGCCACAUUGGGACUGAGGUACGGCCCAGACUCCUACGGGAGGCAGCAGUGGGGAAUAUUGCACAAUGGGCGGAAGCCUGAUGCAGCAACGCCGCGUGCGGGAUGACGGCCUUCGGGUUGUAAACCGCUUUCGCCUGUGACGAAGCGUGAGUGACGGUAAUGGGUAAAGAAGCACCGGCUAACUACGUG
rnacentral:rRNA from 1 species